CACGUAGGGUGCAAGCGUUGUCCGGAAUUAUUGGGCGUAAAGGGCUCGUAGGCGGUCCGUCACGUCGGGAGUGAAAACUCGGGGCUCAACCCCGAGCCUGCUUCCGAUACGGGCGGACUAGAGGUAGGUAGGGGAGAACGGAAUUCCGGGUGUAGCGGUGAAAUGCGUAGAUAUCCGGAGGAACACCGGUGGCGAAGGCGGCUUCCUGGACCGACACUGACGCUGAGGCGCGAAAGCUAGGGGAGCAAACGGG
rnacentral:rRNA from 1 species